rnacentral:lncRNA from 1 species
UUCGGGAUCGGGGGACCACGGAGCGGCAGCCUGUUUUGGAACUGCUUCCACACAGGUGUCUUCUGCACCUUCGCAGCCAGGCAAAGUCCAAGGACCAAGCAAGAGGCAGACACAUACUAAGGGCCCCGGAAGAAUGUCAAGAGCAGCCUGGGCCACCGUGAGGGGCCACAUGUGGUCAGAAUUUCCCUCCAGAGGCCCCAGCCGUUGCUUCCCCGAGUUCAGAAUCGCUGGUCUGGGGAAAUCACUGUUAAAUCCCGACGCGGCCGCGUGUCCACGGCCUCCGCGAGAGGGCACGUUGAAGACUGGCAAGUCUCGCACAAUCUUCUGUGUUUCCGUGUUGUGUGUUUACUGGGCUUAACUGCGCAGAUGUUUUUAAUGUGGAAGAAUGGGUGAGUACAGUCCCCAGUUUCAAACUAGGACUAGUUCCCUGGCAAUGGGUUAAUAGACGCUACUGCCCUCUGUUCUUCAUAGACUUCCAAAUUUCAACAUAUUUUGAUUUUAUAAUUUAUCUUAUUUAUUUUUUGAGGGGGGGUAGGGAGAGAGAGAAUCUCAAGCAAGCUCCACACCCAGCAUGGAGCCGUGAGAUGAUAAACUGAGCCAAAACCAAGAGUCAGAUACUCAACCGAGCCACCCAGGCGCCCCAAUUUUAUAAUUAAAAAAAAAAAAAAAACUGUUGAGAGCUCUGGUCUUUUGG